rnacentral:rRNA from 1 species
CAGUCGCCGCGGUAAUACGAAGGGGGCUAGCGUUGUUCGGAUUUACUGGGCGUAAAGCGCACGUAGGCGGACUUUUAAGUCAGGGGUGAAAUCCCGGGGCUCAACCCCGGAACUGCCUUUGAUACUGGAAGUCUUGAGUAUGGUAGAGGUGAGUGGAAUUCCGAGUGUAGAGGUGAAAUUCGUAGAUAUUCGGAGGAACACCAGUGGCGAAGGCGGCUCACUGGGCCAUUACUGACGCUGAGGUGCGAAAGCGUGGGGAGCAAACAGGAUUAGAUACCCGUGUAGUCCCUGUCUCUUAUAC